rnacentral:lncRNA from 1 species
UGAAAUUCUAAAUAACCCAGGAGUCAAAAAAUUACAAUGAAAAUUAGAAAAUAUUUGAAGAGAAUCUUAAAAACACGAUUUCUCAAAAUGUGGGACGCAGCUAAAGUAAUGCAUACAAACAUUUAAAGCCUUAAGCAUGUAUAUUAGAAAACAAGGAAAGUUGAAAACAAUGAAAGUUGAAAACAAUUACUUAAAUUUUUAUUUCCAAAAGGUAGAAGAAAGCUUUAAAUUAAAUAUCAAUGAAGAAAAUUAUAAAAAUUAGAUCAGAGGAUAGUAAAACAGAUAAAAAAAACACAAAACUGAUAAGCCUCUGGCAAGACUUAAACAAAAGAGAAAAAAUACAAUAAAAAUUUCUCCAGACAUUAUAGGGAGAAAUGAUACUAAUUUCAUUGAAACUCUUCCAAAGAAUAGUAGAGAGAAUUCCCUAACACACUUUAUGCAACCAACAUAACCUUAAUGCCAAAAACUAACAAAGACACUGCAAGAAAGGAAAAUAACAAAACUUUUCUCAUAAACUUGGAUGCAAAAAUCCUAAACCAAAUAUUAGCAAUCCAAACCCAAUGAUACAUAAAAAGGAAAAUAUAUCAGAUUUUAUUUCAAGAAAAGGUUAAUCAUUUAAAAAUCAAUGGAAUUUACCAUAUUUACUGAAUUAAGGGGAAAUUAUUUCAAUAGGAUAAAACUGUUAAAGAAAUUCAAUACCCAUUGAUGAUUUUCUUUAAAACUUAGCAAAUUAGGAAUCAAAAGGAAUUCCUUAAGAGUAUCUUUUUAAAAAAGUGUGUGACAGACAUAAAAAAGUGAAAUAAAUGUUAAGUAUCUCUAGCAAUUAGAGAAAUGCAAAUCAAAACUACUCUUUAAGAUGUCAUCUCACUCCAGUCAGAAUGGCAGCUAUUAAGAAUACAAACAACAAGUGUUGGCAAGAAUGUGGGGAAAAGGGCACACUCUUACAUUGCCAGUGGGACUGCAGAUUGGUGCAACCAAUCUGAAAAGCAGUAUGGAGAAUCCGUGGAAAAAUGGGAAUGGAACCACCAUUUAACCCAGCUAUCUAACUCCUCGUUCUAAACCCAAAGGAUUUAAAAACAGCAUACUACAGGGACACGGCCACAUCAGUGUUAGCACACACUGAUAGCACAUAGCAGCACAAUUCACAGAAGCUAAAUGUGGAUCUAACCUAGAAUACCCUUCAGUAGAUGAAUGGAUAAAGAAACUGGUAUAUAUACACAAUGGAAUAUUACUCAGCAUUAAAAGAGAAUGAAAUCAUGGCAUUUGAAGGUAAAUGGAUAGAGUUGGAGAAUAUUUUACUAAGUAAAGAAACCAAUCCCAAAAAAAACAAAUGCCGAAUGUCUUCUCUGAUAUAAGGAUGCUGAUUCAUAAUGGAAAUGGUGGGGAGCAUGAGAAGAAUAGACGAACUUUAAAUAGUGCAAAGAGGAGGGAGGAGAUGUGGGGGCACUGGGGUAGAAAAGAGUGGAAUGAGUUGGACAUCAUUACCCUAAGUACACGUAUGAAGACACAAAUUGUGUGACUCUACUUUGUAUACAACCAGAGACAUGAAAAUUUGUGCUGUAUUUGUGUAAUAUGAAUUGAAUUGCAUUCUUCUGUCAUAUAUAACUAACUAGAAUAAAUUUUUAAAAGUUAUCACAAAGUAUAAUGAUACCUAAAUAAAGAUUUAUAGAGAAAAUAAUAGUGAAAUAUUUAAAGCUUUCUCCCUAAAAUCUAAC